CCUACGGGAGGCACCAGUCGGGAAUUUUGGGCAAUGGGCGAAAGCCUGACCCAGCAACGCCGCGUGAAGGAUGAAGUAUUUCGGUAUGUAAACUUCGAAAGAAUAGGAAGAAUUAAUGACGGUACUAUUUAUAAGGUCCGGCUAACUACGUGCCAGCAGCCGCGGUAAUACGUAGGGACCAAGCGUUGUUCGGAUUUACUGGGCGUAAAGGGCGCGUAGGCGGUGCGGUAAGUCACUUGUGAAAUCUCUGAGCUUAACUCAGAACGGCCAAGUGAUACUGCAGUACUAGAGUGCAGAAGGGGCAAUCAGAAUUCUUGGUGUAGCGGUGAAAUGCGUAGAUAUCAAGAGGAAUACCUGAGGUGAAGACGGGUUGCUAGGCUGACACUGACGCUGAGGCGCGAAAGCUAGGGGAGCAAACGGGAUUAGAUACCCCGGUAGUCCUAGCCCUAAACGAUGAAUACUUGGUGUCUGGAGUCUUUAAUGCUCCGGGUGCCGUCGCUAACGUUUUAAGUAUUCCGCCUGGGGAGUACGCUCCCAAGAGUGAAACUCAAAUGAAUUGACGG
rnacentral:rRNA from 1 species